AGAGAAGAACGGGAGAAACUGAGGAGGUCCCGAUCACAUAGCAAGAAUCCCAAAAGAUCUAGAUCCAGAGAGCAUCGCAGACACCGAUCUCGCUCCAUGUCACGAGAACGCAAGAGGAGGACUCGAUCCAAGUCUCGUGAGAAACGCCAUCGCCACAGGUCCAGGUCCAGUAGCCGAAGCCGCAGCCGUAGCCACCAGAGAAGUCGGCACAGUUCAAGAGAUAGGAGCAGAGAGCGAUCCAAGAGGAGGUACUGAAGUGCCGAUCAGAGGAUGCGGAGCUACCUUUAUGUUUUAGCCUUUUGUUUCUUAUGUUACUUAUGCUUAGAUUAUUGGCUUGAAACCUGCACCUGAUAUAUUGAUAUGUACUCAAUUGUAGGUGUAUACAUUUUUUUCUGAUUGUAUGAGUAGUUCAUGCACAGUUAAUGCAUGAGCCGGAGUAAGAAAUUGAAGCCAGUAUGUGCAGAGGUUAUUGCUUUUCUUUACUUGGAAUGUUGGGGAGACGGGAGGGAUGCUGAUAAAAACUAUUUUAUAGGCAAAUAAUUUUAGGUACUAAUACUCUUGAGGGUUGUAGGGGAUUUUGUUUAUUUGUUUUCCAAUAUGUAUUAACAAAUAGGGACUCUGAGAAGUCCUUUCAUUAAAAGCAUUGUUUAGCUUUGUUUGCCUGUUUUCCACAUUUUGGUGCACUUCUAAAGAGCAAACCGAUUCUGCUAUGUUGUUUAAUCCACAGUAUAAAUCAUACAUUUUCAUGUUCACCUUUAGUGUAAUGGGAAUAUUCUGAGUUUGGAGGAAGCUACAAAACACCUUAGUAUAGCAGGAAACUUCAAAAGAUGCAAUGAGAGCAGACAUUAAUUAUAUAGUGAGAGCUAACAAAGGGUUAGAAUAUAGUGGAGCUGUUUAAUUCCCAAAAUUCAGGUCACAUAAUCCUAUGGAGCAUAAACUAUACUUAAAAUUACUUUUUCCCUCCUUGACAACUAUUAUUAGGUAAAUAUAGGAGAAAAACUCGGAAACCCUAGUUACUAGUCUUAAAUUUUCUUUGGCUUACUCCACAUAAAUUAAACCCACAGAAAGCUGACAAAAUCUUUGUUAGACUGAGUUACCCUUUCCCUGAAAUCACAAGCUGAGUUUCUUAAUAGGCUUUCAAUCAGCUUUUUAUUUUGUGUAUUUCUGUCUAUGUUCUUAGUAGCCCUUAAAGUGAUUUUUAACUAGGUAGGGAUUUGUGUGUGUGUGUGUGUGUGUGUGUCCUUGUGUCUCUGUGUGUGUCUGUUGGGGGGAGGGCUUGCGGGAGAGGUCAGGAGGCCAAGCUCUUGAGUAGCUCAAAUUGACCUCAUAUUCAUCCUUUAGCCUCAGCUUCCUCUUGAGUGCUGGGAUUAUAGGUAUAUGACACCCUGCCUGGCUUUAUGAAUUAGAUACUUUCCUCUGUGCUAGGCUUGUUAAAAAAUAGCCAAGUAAUAGUAGUGUAUAUAAACAACCAUUUUUAUGUUGCUCUAUGGAGUUUUCUGUGUGGGAGAAUACUUAGCCACAGAUUAUAAAGUGAUAAACUGAAUAUCAUAGGAUAAAUAACAUAAAUUUAGAUGAGGAAAAUUUUCAGAAAGAUUCUUUAAAACUGGUUUGAGGUAAUGGAUCAGGCUUGAAUAACUGGUUGUAAUUAAACAAGUAUGGAAAUACCUGUAGGCUUCUUACAUUUCAAAACUGGGUUUGUCCUCAGUGCAGUGGCCAGAAACAUUUUUUUUUUGGUAGUGUUCUUUAUGAUUCUAAAUCUGCACACUAAAUCUGAGAAUCGGGUGGUUUAGGCAAUAAAGGAUCUAGCUGAUUCUUGUGUUGACCUGCUCAGCUGUCAUUUUUCUGAUGUUUAUCUUACUUGUCUUUAUUGGUGAUGGAGAUGGGAGGGGUGGGUGGGAAGUCUGUCCUAUCACUGUGUCAUCCUGAGGCUUCCUGAACUUGGGAAGUUUAGUUAUAUAGGAAAACUUCCCACCAUAUUCAGCAUGUUCAAAAGAGGAUUAUUUUUGUAAAAUUAUUAAAAAUUUUGCUUUUC
rnacentral:lncRNA from 1 species